rnacentral:rRNA from 1 species
AAAUUGAAGAGUUUGAUCAUGGCUCCAGGUGAACGCUGGCGGCAGGCCUAACACAUACAAGUCGAACGGUAACGAGCACUUUGCUGACAGUGGCGGACGGGUGAGUAAUGUCUGGGAAACUGCCUGAUGGAGAGGGGAUAACUACUGGAAACGGUGAAGCUAUGCCGCAUAACGUCGCGAAGACAGAAACCUUCGGGCCUCUUGCCAUCAGAUGUGCCCGAAUAGGAUUAGCGGUGGGGUGAGGUAACGGCUCACCAAGGCGACGAUCUAAUAGCUGAUGCGAGAGGAUGACCAGCCACACUGGAACGCUGAGACACGGUCCCGAACUCCUACGGGGAGGCAGCAGUGGGGGCUGUGCACAAUGGGCGCAAGCCUGGUGCAGCCAUGCCGCGUGUAUGAAGAACCUUCGAGUUUGUACAAAGUACUUUUCAGCGAGGAAGGUGUUGUGGUUAAUAACCACAGCAGUGACGUUACCGCAGAAAAAGCACAGCUAACUCCGUGCCAGCAACCGCGCGGUAAUACGGAGGAGGUACGAAAACGUCCGUCGGAAUUACUGGGCGUAAAGCGCACGCAGGCGGUCUGUCAAGUCGGAUGUAAUCCCGGGCUCAACCUGGGAACUGCAUUCGAAACUGAGGCUUGCGGAGAUAUUCUUUAGCCAGAGGGGUAGAAUUCCGAGGUAGCGGUGAAAUGCGCUGGGCAUCUGGGAAGGAAUACACCGGUGGCGAAGGCGGCACAGACAGGCGACGCUCCAGGUGCAGCGUGAGGAACGGCAAGGAUUAGAUACCUGGUAGUCCACGCCGUAAACGUGUCUACUUGGAGGUUGUGUCCUUGAGGCGUGGCUUCCAGGCUAACGCGUUAGAAGUAGACCGCACAGGAGUACGGCCGCAAGGUUAAAAACUCAAAUGUGAAUUGACGGGGGCCCGCACAAGCGGGUGGAAGCAUGUGGUUUAAUUCGAUGCAACGCGAAGAACGCCACGAAUGUAACAUCCACAGAACUUUCAGAAGAUGGACUGGUGCCUUCAGGGAACUUCUGUGUGAGACAGGUACUGCAUAUUUGUCGUCGCUCGUGUUGUGAAAUGUGGGUUAGAGAUCCGCAACGAGCACAACCCUGUCAGCACAUUUGCCAGCGGUCCGGCCGGGAACUCAAAGGGAACUACCAGUGAUAAGCUGGAGGAAGUAGGGAUGACGUCAAGUCAUCAUGGCCCCUUACGACGAGGGCUACACAUGCUACAAUGGCGCAUACAAAGAAACCUCGCGAGAGCAAGCGGACCUCAUAAAGAGAUUCGAUGUGGUCGGAUUGGAGUCUGCAACUCGACUCCAUGAAGUCCGGAAUCGCUAGUAAUCCUCGUGGAUCAAGAAUGCCACGGUGAAUACGUUACGUUCCGGGCGCGCACACCGCCCGUCACAUGGGGUGGGUUGCAAAAGAAGUAGGUAGCAGCCUUCGGGAGGCGCUUACCACUUUGUGAUUGUUCAUGACUGGGAGUGAAGUCGUAACAAAAGGCAACCGUAGGGGAACCUGCGGAUACCUCCUUACCUGA